rnacentral:lncRNA from 1 species
CAGCUUAACACAAUGCUGUCUUUUCUGCCCUUGGAACUUAACCUGGGUUGAGAGGUGCUCACAAGCUGCUAUGGAUACUUGGGUCUCUAGUCAUCGUUUUCAUGUGGAAACUCCUUAAAGAGAGUGUUAAAUUUAAUACUCCAAUUGUAAAGAACUCUAAAAAUGGAAGAGAGGAUAUGUGUAAAUAAAGACAGUAUAUUCCCAAACCUAGUAUCAGUAAGUUUUUACAAAAAUCCAGCAGUUUGUUUUGUCCUUGCCAUAGCUCCCAUUCUUUAGGGGUGCUGAUGUAAAAUUAGAGUCCCACCAAGCCUUUGCUUGUGUGUAUGUGGUUUUAUAUCGUUGAGUCAGACACACUGGGCAGAUAUGUUCAUGUUUCUGUAUAUUGUUCACUUUAUGGUGUAUUCAUUUUCUUCUCCCGACAGCACCCUUACCUGGUUUCUCAACCAUGCAAUAUGCUGAGCCCGAUGUUUACAAAAAGAAAGAAAAAAACUCUCGAAGAUUCGAGACUCUAAGCCGUAAGACCUCAACGGGAAAAAAAACUCAAUAUGGAUUUAUAGGAAAAAUUUAUUUUCAUUUGCCUUCUUUGGAAGCAUAAAAUGAAAGUGCUUGAAGGGACUCCGGGAACUUCAAAUAAGGAGUCAAUUUCUCAUCCACAGCUCCCAACUUCCCCACGGCGUCUGGUAGGGACUCCACCUCUGAAGGGGAGAAGAGCAGAGGCUGGUUCUGCCUUUGGCUUCUACACAGUUUUCCACAUUUGCUAUGGAAUAAUCAUAUCACGUGUAAAGGAGGAGACCUGUGUUUUCCCCAGUGUGGGGAGAGUCGAGAUGGAAGGAAAACUCCACUGA